rnacentral:lncRNA from 11 species
GGCGCGGUGGGCGUGGCGUCUGGCCGUGCCGCAGCGCGUGCGGGGCUGAGGGCCGCUCUGAUUGGCUAAAGCGCGCCGGCCGGCCUGAGUGGGGCGCGAGGGUCCUUUUCUUCUCCUUCCCGAGCAGAGGCAGAGGCGGCAGGUGGAGAGCGAGCAAGGCCGCCCUUGGGUUCCAGGAGAGGCGGAGGAGGAUGGCGGAGGAGGAAGAAGAGAUAUAUCUACCACUGUGAUACCAGUGAUGACAUUUACAUUGGACUGAACCCUUUUCAGAUGGCCAUUGGACUGGAAGUAUUAAAACGAGUUCUUGAAACUGCGGAUUGAUGCAAGCAAUUUCAAAAUCUCAGGUAUAUUUAAGAGUUUAAGUGUACACAACUAAAGGUCUGUCUCUUCCAGCAGGCCUACCCAGGCAGUUU